rnacentral:rRNA from 1 species
AUCCUGGCUUAGGAUGAACGCUGGCGGCGUGCUUAAUACAUGCAAGUCGAACGAAGCACUUUGACAGAUCCCUUCGGGGUGAAGAUGAUUGUGACUUAGUGGCGGACGGGUGAGUAACGCGUGGGGAACCUGCCUCGUGCUGGGGGAUAACAGUUAGAAAUGACUGCUAAUACCGCAUAAGCGCACAGUAAGGCAUCUUACAGUGUGAAAAGAUUUAUCGGCAUGAGAUGGACCCGCGUCUGAUUAGGUAGUUGGCGGGGUAACGGCCCACCAAGCCCGCGAUCAGUAGCCGACUUGAGAGAGUGAUCGGCCACAUUGGGACUGAGACACGGCCCAGACUCCUACGGGAGGCAGCAGUAGGGAAUAUUGCACAAUGGGGGAGACCCUGAUGCAAGCGACGCCGCGUGAGUGAUGAAGUAUUUCGGUACGUAAAACUCUAUCAGCAGGGAAGAUAAUGACGGUACCUGACUAAGAAGCCCCGGCUAACUACGUGCCAGCCGCAGC